rnacentral:rRNA from 1 species
UACGUAGGGGGCAAGCGUUGUCCGGAAUCAUUGGGCGUAAAGAGCGCGUAGGCGGCCCUGUAAGUCCGCUGUGAAAGUCAAGGGCUCAACCCUUGGAUGCCGGUGGAUACUGCAGGGCUAGAGUCCGGAAGAGGCGAGUGGAAUUCCUGGUGUAGCGGUGAAAUGCGUAGAUAAUUGGGGAGGAACACCGGUGGCGAAGGCGGCCCCUGGACCGGUACUGACGGCCUGGAGGCGCGAAAGCGUGGGUAGCAAACGGG